rnacentral:misc_RNA from 1 species
GGAAGGAUCAUUAACACUUUUUUAACCAAAAAAACCACUUAAAAAAACUGUAUACCCCCCCACAUUCACUUGUGGGGAGUAUAUGGACCUUUUUCUCUUACGGAUUCGUUGGUUCUCUCUUCCAAGGGAGCUGAUGCUAUCUGUGAGGAAAGAAGGAACACCCAUCGUGUGAACCUGUUGAAGUACUUAACACUACACUAAUCCUAACAGAUUAUUACGUGUUAUCUAUUUUUUUUUAAACACCUUUAUAAUUAAUAAAAACUUAUAAUCAUACUUGACUGAAAACUGUGUUAUGUGUGUGUGUGCGUGUGCACUUUUUUGUUUUCCUAACAGAAAACCAAAAAAAUGAACACAAACCAUAUAUAUAUCAUAAAAAUCAAAGAUAACCUAAGACAACUUUUAACAACGGAUAUCUUGGUUCUCGCAACGAUGACGAGCGCAGCGAAAUGCGAUACGUAAUGUGAAUUGCAGGAUUCAGUGAAUCAUCGAAACCUUGAACGCAUAUUGCGCUGGUGACUUUAUCACCAGCACGCCUGUUUGAGUAUCGGUUUUCAUUAUCAACAAAACAGAAAAGAACUUGUUUCUCUUCCUGUAUUAUUGUUGGACUAUGGAUGUUUGAGUGUUUUCAGUAACGUUCAAUCGUCUUAAACCUAGAGUUUGGCUCGUUUUUUACGUUUCCAAAUAGCAAAAAACACUUGAUGGUUAUUAGGCAAAAUAAGGUUCUCUCUCGGGGGAGUCUUACUUUUUUCACUACCAUCAACUAACAGUGUCUUCUGCAUUUAAUAUUUGGUUCGUGUGAGCCCUUUACAUCUCUCUGAUGCACUGCAGCAAUGCAACAUAAGAGAAACAAAAAACCUAACCUCGAUCUCAAAUCAGGCGAGACAACCCGCUGAAUUUAAGCAUAUCAAUAAGCGGAGGAGAAGAAACUAACUAGGAUUCCCUCAGUAACGGCGAGUGAAGCGGGAAGAGCUCAAAUUGAAAAUCUUCAGGGAUUAAGUUCCUUGACGAAUUGUAGUUUUGUGACUGGCACUUACGGGGGAGUGGCUUGGGAUGUAAGUCUCCUGGAAAGGAGCGCCCUGGAGGGUGAGAGCCCCGUGUCGUCCCUUGUCCGCUUUCCAACACGUACUGCUAGUUCGCCGAGUCGAGUUGUUUGAGAGUACAGCUCAAAAUGGGUGGUAAAUUUCAUCUAAAGCUAAAUAAUGGCGAGAGACCGAUAGCGAACAAGUACCGUGAGGGAAAGAUGAAAAGAACUUUGAAAAGAGAGUUAAAAGUACUUGAAAUUGUUAAAAGGGAAGCGAUUGGAACCAGUCGAUGCGUGCCGCUCAAUCAGCCGGGAGCGCAGGGCUCGUGGCAGCCAGCGAGGGAUCCUUGGUGGUCUCCGUUUCGGUUGUCACUCUUAGCUCUGUGCGACCGGUGCACUUGGGCGGUAUUUUGCGAGUCAGCGUGGGCUUGCUGCGCAGUAGAAGAGGAGGGGUAAGGUGCCGGGUCGGCUGGCUCAUGCCAGUUUGCUUAUCCGGGUUACAGACCUCUCUGGAUGCUGUGCGGUGAACUGAGGCGCCUCCUGGGCGACGACAAGCGUUCCUUCAUUGGGACUGGAGAAGAAGCGGCGGAUGGGUCUCCUGCCGUGAGUACAGCCUAGCUCGUGCUUGCGGUCAGCGUUGGGUUCUCACGUUCGUUUCUAUUCACAGCCUUGUUCAACGACGCUGACGAAAUGGUUUCAAUCGGCCCGUCUUGAAACACGGACCAAGGAGUCUAACAUGUGUGCGAGUACUUGGGUGGUUCAAACCCGAGCUGCGUAAUGAAAGUAAACCUCUGGAUGGGAAGCGGGUGGGCACGCCCCGGCCCGCGGCACCAUCGGCCGGCCUUGAUAUCUUUGGAUAGGUCUGAGCGAGAGCAUACCUGUUGGGACCCGAAAGAUAGCGAACUAUGCCUGCAUAGGGUGAAGCCAGACGAAAGUCUGGUGGAGGCUCGUAGCGAUACUGACGUGCAAAUCGUUCGUCAAAUGUGGGUAUAGCGGCGAAAGACUAAUCGAGCUGUCUAGUAGCUGGUUUCCUC